UUACUUUUUUGGCGUUUGGAAACGGAGCCCCAGACAUUUUCUCUGCUAUAGCCGCCAUCGGAAAUGCCAAAGAAGGUGACGCUGGGCUGGCCGUUGGAGCAUUGUUUGGCGCUGGUGUUUUUGUGACAGCUGUUGUAGCCGGCUCUAUUUCAAUCAUCAAACCUUUUCAAUGUAUGGAACGGCCUUUUUUAAGAGACGUCAUCUUCUAUCUGGCCGCCUGCUACUGGGCCUGGGUCGUUCUCUGGGACAAGAAGAUUACUCAGUUGGAAGCCGCUGGUUUUAUAAUUUUGUAUGUCUUCUACGUCCUCGUUGUCAUCAUCGGUCGCUACGUCAAUCAGAAAUUUAAAAACAGACAGGCUGGAAGUCUCCU
rnacentral:sRNA from 1 species